UUUUAUUUAUGAAACAUAUAAUUGGAAUUUUUUACCACUUUUUUGAGAAAAAAGCAAUGUAUAUUUUACGUUGGUUAUAAAGUAACAAAUGUUGUAAAAAUUACUUUUUAUAUUGAUUAUAAACUUAUAACUGAUAUAAAAAAACAAUUUUUCUAUCCAUCGGUUAUGACCUUAUCACUGAUGUAAUCAAUUCAAUAUCUAAUGUAACUACAUAAAAAAAUUGUCAAUGCACAAACUUACAUUAAAAAAUGUUUUUUAUUGGAUGUAACUUUUUUGUUAACUAGUGUUUGAAUAGUCUUCAAUAAGAGGUGCUUAUAAGCUUAGCCCCCCUUUAAACUCCAACCAUGCUAAAUUGAAGGACAAUAGACCUUCUCUCUUUCUCGGUUUUGAUAAUAAAUCUCUUUUCUUAUCUAUUUUCCUUUCUUUUUGUGCAUGUUUCAUGGUGAUCCAAAGUAAUAUCUACCUUAUGAAGAUGUGCCAAGUGAUGACAUACAUAAAAUAUGUGGUGUGAAACUAUGAAUGAUAUGGACCUACUAUGACAUUUUAUAUAAUUUGGAAAUAUGACUAGGUUGUAUUCUCU
rnacentral:lncRNA from 1 species